UAAGCUUUAGUUAAUUUAUAAUAAUAGUUUGUCAGAUUAUAGUAACCAAUGGUAAGCUUUU
rnacentral:tRNA from 1 species